rnacentral:rRNA from 1 species
UACGUAGGGGGCAAGCGUUGUCCGGAUUUAUUGGGCGUAAAGAGCGUGUAGGCGGCCUGAAAGGUCAGCUGUGAAAACUCGAGGCUCAACCUCGAGACGUCGGUUGAAACCAUCUGGCUAGAGUCCGGAAGAGGAGAGUGGAAUUCCCGGUGUAGCGGUGAAAUGCGCAGAUAUCGGGAAGAACACCCGUGGCGAAGGCGGCUCUCUGGGACGGUACUGACGCUGAGACGCGAAAGCGUGGGGAGCAAGCAGG